rnacentral:rRNA from 1 species
GUCUAUGGCCAUGCUACCCUGAACAUGCCCAAUCCCAGCUGAUCUUGGAAGCUAAGCAGGGUUGGGCCUGGUUACUAGUUGGAUGGGAGACCACCUAGGAAGACCAGGUGCUAUAGGCA